UGAAUACGAGAUGCUACGGCGUCGAAGCAGUCUAUGUCAUACUUCCAAGAAAAGCUUGCACUGUCAUAAACAAAUAAUGCCUGUACCAUAACCGACACAGGUGGGUAGGUAGAGUAUACUAAGGGGCGCGAGAUAACUCUCUCUAAGGAACUCGGCAAAAUGACUCCGUAACUUCGGGAGAAGGAGUGCCUUAUUUAUAAGGUUGCAAUAACAAGAUCCAAGCAACUGUUUACCAAAAACACAGGUCUCCGCUAAGUCGUAAGACGAUGUAUGGGGGCUGACGCCUGCCCAGUGCCAGAAGGUUAAAGAAGUUGGUUAGCAUCCGCGAAGCUGAUAACUGAAGCCCUGGUGAACGGCGGCCGUAACUAUAACGGUCCUAAGGUAGCGAAAUUCCUUGUCGGGUAAGUUCCGACCCGCACGAAAGGCGUAAUGAUUUGGAUACUGUCUCGGAGAGGGGCUCGGUGAAAUAGACUUGUCUGUGAAGAUGCGGACUACCUGCACCAGUACAGAAAGACCCUAUGAAGCUUUACUGUAACCUGAAAUUGAAAUUGGACUUUACUUGCGCAGUAUAGGUGGGAGGCGUUGAGAAUAUUCUUGCGGGAUUAUUGGAGCCAUCAGUGGGAUACCACCCUUGUAAUGUUAGAUUUCUAACUUUGUAUCAUUAUCUGGUCAAAGAACAGUUUCAGGCGGGCAGUUUGACUGGGGCGGUCGCCUCCUAAACGGUAACGGAGGCGCACAAAGGUUUCCUCUGAACGGGUAGAAAUCGUAUCUAGAGUGUAAAGGCAUAAGGAAGCUUGACUGUGAGACCUACAAGUCGAGCAGGGACGAAAGUCGGUCUUAGUGAUCUGACGGUGCUGAGUGGAAAGGCCGUCACUCAACGGAUAAAAGUUACUCUAGGAUAACAGGCUGAUCUCCCCCAAGAGUUCACAUCGACGGGGAGGUUUGGCACCUCGAUGUCGGCUCAUCGCAUCCUGGGGCGGUAGUACGUCCCAAGGGUUGGGCUGUUCGCCCAUGAAAGCGGUACGCGAGCUGGGUUCAGAACGUCGUGAGACAGUUCGGUCCAUAUCCGGUGUAGGCGUUAGAAUAUUGAGAGGAGCCUUCUUUAGUACGAGAGGACCGAGAAGGACAUACCUCUGGUGUACCAGUUAUCGUGCCAACGGUAAACGCUGGGUAGCUAUGUGUGGAGUGGAUAACCGCUGAAAGCAUCUAAGUGGGAAGCCCACCUCAAGAUAAGUA
rnacentral:rRNA from 1 species